rnacentral:rRNA from 1 species
GACGAACGCUGGCGGCGUGCUUAACACAUGCAAGUCGAACGGAAAGGCCCUGCUUUUGUGGGGUGCUCGAGUGGCGAACGGGUGAGUAACACGUGAGUAACCUGCCCUUGACUUUGGGAUAACUUCAGGAAACUGGGGCUAAUACCGUAUAGGAUCUCCUGCUGCAGGGAGGGGGGUGGAAAGUUUCGGCGGGUGGGGAUGGACGCGCGGCUUAUCAGCUUGUUGGUGGGGGAGGGGCUUACCAAGGCUUGGGCGGGUCGCCGGCCGGGGAGGGUGACCGGCCACCUUGGGCCUGCGAUACGGCCCAGACUCCUACAGGGGGCAGCGGUCGCGAAUCUUGCCCAAUGGGCGGACGCCUGAUGAAGCAACGCCGCGUGCGUGAUGACGGCCUUCGGGUUGUAAACCGCUUUCGCCUGUGACGCCGCGUUAGUGACGGUAAUCGGUAAAGAAGCACCGGCUAACUACGUG